rnacentral:rRNA from 1 species
AGCAGCCGCGGUAAUUCCAGCUCCAAUAGCGUAUAUUAAAGUUGUUGCAGUUAAAAAGCUCGUAGUUGAAUUUCGGGAUCAAUAUGUUGGUCGUGCCUUGGUACGUACUAAUUUAUUGGUUUCUUCCUUCUGACGAACCAUGAUGUCAUUAAUUUGGUGUCUUGGGGAAUCAGGACUGUUACUUUGAAAAAUUAGAGUGUUUAAAGCAGGCUCACGCUUGAAUACAUUAGCAUGGAAUAAUGAAAUAGGAUGUUUGAUUCUAUUUUGUUGGUUUCUAGGAUCGACGUAAUGAUUAAUAGGGAUAGUUGGGGGCAUUAGUAUUCAAUUGUCAGAGGUGAAAUUCUUGGAUUUAUUGAAGACUAACUACUGCGAAAGCAUUUGCCAAGGAUGUUUUCAUUAAUCAAGAACGAAAGUUAGGGGAUCGAAGACGAUCAGAUACCGUCGUAGUCU